rnacentral:rRNA from 1 species
CCUACGGGAGGCAGCAGUGGGGAAUAUUAGACAAUGGGCGAAAGCCUGAUCCAGCAAUGCCGCGUGAGUGAUGAAGGCCUUUGGGUCGUAAAGCUCUUUUACCAGGGAUGAUAAUGACAGUACCUGGAGAAUAAGCUCCGGCUAACUCCGUGCCAGCAGCCGCGGUAAUACGGAGGGAGCUAGCGUUGUUCGGAAUUACUGGGCGUAAAGAGUACGUAGGCGGUUAUUCAAGUCAGAGGUGAAAGCCCGGGGCUCAACCCCGGAACUGCCUUUGAAACUAGAUAACUAGAGUCUUGGAGAGGUUAGUGGAAUUCCGAGUGUAGAGGUGAAAUUCGUAGAUAUUCGGAAGAACACCAGUGGCGAAGGCGACUAACUGGACAAGUACUGACGCUGAGGUACGAAAGCGUGGGGAGCAAACAGGAUUAGAUACCCUGGUAGUCCACGCCGUAAACGAUGAUAACUAGUUGUUCGGUCACUUGGUGACUGAGUGACGCGAGCUACGACAUUAAGUUAUCCGUCCGUCGGGUAGGUACGGUCGCGACGAUUAAACUACAAGAAGUAGACGGACGUGAGACGUGCCGAACGGACGACGACGAGGGAGAGG